rnacentral:rRNA from 1 species
GAUGAACGCUGGCGGCGUGCUUAACACAUGCAAGUCGAACGAAGCACUUUAUUUGAUUUCCUUCGGGACUGAUUAUUUUGUGACUGAGUGGCGGACGGGUGAGUAACGCGUGGGUAACCUGCCUUGUACAGGGGGAUAACAGUUGGAAACGGCUGCUAAUACCGCAUAAGCGCACAGCAUCGCAUGAUGCAGUGUGAAAAACUCCGGUGGUAUAAGAUGGACCCGCGUUGGAUUAGCUAGUUGGUGAGGUAACGGCCCACCAAGGCGACGAUCCAUAGCCGAGCUGAGAGGGUGACCGGCCACAUUGGGACUGAGACACGGCCCAAACUCCUACGCGAGGCAGCAGUGGGGAAUAUUGCACAAUGGGCGAAAGCCUGAUGCAGCGACGCCGCGUGAGCGAAGAAGUAUUUCGGUAUGUAAAGCUCUAUCAGCAGGGAAGAUAAUGACGGUACCUGACUAAGAAGCACCGGCUAAAUACGUG